CACCUGCAGACCUGCUUCACCACUUGUGAUGCUUCUCUCCUGCAGGUCGGCUGCGAAGGAGGCUCAAACCGAGGUCCUCGCUGGGGUCCUUGCACUUAGUAUUAUGUGCACUUAACCAAGUGCACCACUGCCUCACCCCCCUCGCUGUUGUGUGUCUGAAGACAGAGGGAGAGCAGAGAAAAAGAGUGAGAGACAGAGAGAGAGCCAGAGAGAGAGACAGAGAGAGAGACAGAGGCUGAGAAAGACCACAGCCCCACAGCUGCCUUCAUUGUGGUGGGGGCCAGCCUGGCUCGAACCUCGGUACAGUGCACUGUCUGAGUAAGCCAUCUUGCUGGGCCAUGUCAACGGCUUUCAAAGGUCUUUCUGGACAGAAGAGCAGCUCUCAGCAUCACUCCAGUGCCAGCUAAAACGCAGGCGCCUACGCCUGGCGCACAGGUGUGGGGGCUGAGCUGCGGGCUCCUCCCCUGGCUGCUGUGACCUGGAGCUCACCACAACAGCUCCCCAGCACACACGCUUCUCCUGCAGAAACGAGACCCCACGUCAAGCCCCGAUGCCGAGUUUGGGACAUGUUGGGGGCCACCCUUGGGAGACCAGCCGGCUCUAAGUCUUUGUCCUUACACCUCUCCCCGGGGGAGAAGUCCAGGCCUGGGGUGGGAGGCCCGAGACAGCUGUGACUCCUCUGGCUUGGUGGCUCUCAAGGAACCUGCUUCUUCCCUCUCCGCACCGAUGGCAGCAAGUACAGCUCUCAGCCUGGCUCGCUCGGCCAACACACAGCAAAGCUUCCUCACCUACUGCCAGGCAGCACAGCGGCGACAGUCACCAGGCACUGUGGGGGCCGGGCAGUGGCGCACACAGCAGAGUGUAUGCACCACCUGCACAAGGACCUGGGUUCGAGCCCUGCAGGGGGGAAGCUUCCUGAGUGGUGAGGCAGGUAUUCAGGCAUCUCUUUCUCUUUCCCUUUAUAUUUCCACCCCCCCAUGUCCUAUGAAACAAAGAAAAUGACCUCUGAUAGAUGUGGAUUUGUUUUGUAGGCAAUAAGCCCCAGUGAUAACCCUGGUGGCAAUAAAAACAUAAAAAAUGGGAGUCGGGUGGUAGCACAGCGGGUUAAGUGCACGUGGUGCAAAGCGCAAGGACUGGAGUAAGGAUCCUGGUUCGAACCCCAGCUCCCCACCUGCAGGGGAGUCGCUUCACAGGCGGUGAAGCAAGUCUGCAGGUGUCUGUCUUUCUCUCCCCCUCUCUGUCUUCCCCUCCUGUCUCCAUUUCUCUCUGUCCUAUCCAACAACAAUGACAUGAAUAAUAACUACAACAAUAAAACAAGAACAACAAAAGGGAAUAAAUAAAUAUAAAAAAUUUAAAAAUCUAUAUAUUAAAAUAAUAAUUGAGGAAGAGGAGGAGGAGGAGGAGGAAGAGAAGCAGGAGGAGAGGAUCAAAGCCUGGCGAUGACAGCAGGUUCAGGCACUGCCCUCACACCUGAGUUUGCACCUGAGUGGGAUGUGCUCUCUUCCUCUUCAGACUCCACUGGCUUGUCUGUCCCUCCAGGCAGGUUCUCCCCCAUGAGAGUGCUUCUUCUUAUAAACCGCACGCCAAGCAGACGGCCAGUCUGCGACUAGACGUGCUUUCCACGUGGGGUGGGGCCCCCGUGGGGAUUUGGGGGCCCCCUGACCAAGUGCUGGGCGCUGCCUGGUGCCGGUGACAGAAGGCGGCCUCCUCCGCUGUGGCUUUGCUCCCGGCUGAUGUCCGAGUCCGGGCCCCAUCCCCGAUAGCCCCAGCUGACCGGUGGCCACUGCUCCUCAGGCUGCCCACCACGUCAUGAAUGACUCCAUCCGGUCUGAAGUCACAGAGGCCUCACACCCACUGCACAAAUGGCCUUGUGGGGGGCAGAACCCCUCUCCUGCUGGCUGGCCCCAUGGAGCCAGGGCAGGGGGAUGACAAGGCGCUAAUGGUGCGUCCUCUGGCUUUCUUUAAGCCGGUCCCUGGGCUUUGCACCACCUGCGCUUAACCCGCCGCACUACCACCCAACUCUGUCAGGCUGUCCUUAGCCCCUGGCUGGGUGCUUGCAGAUAGCGGAGAACGCCAGCAGAGACACAUCUCGGCUCCUUCCCUGCAGCAACAAAGUGGCCAGAGACUGACCGACACGAGCUAGGUGACCCAGGAGACGUGGAACUAAAAGCCUGCAGGCUGACCUGUGGGUCUGGGGGCAGCUGGAUUCUGGGCGGAAUUGUCUCACCUCCAGCCUGUAAGUCCAAAAUAUUCUCAGUGGUGGGGGGAGGAGGAGGACAAGACACUCCUUUCACUAGAGAACCUUCCUCGGGACCGUUCAUGAAGGUCCUGAGCUGUCUGUCUGGCGUCCGUGGAUCCAGACACCACAGUCCCUCCUCAAGAGAUGGUCUUGCAGAUCUCAAGCAGCAAGGGGCAGAGCCUGUGCUCCGUGGGUGGGUCUGCCACAAAGUGUUAGCCAUAGGGAAUGCUCCUGGUGCCGAGGGGGAGGAGCAAGAAGCCGCACUGAGGCCCCUGGCACACACACCACCACCACCACCGGCUGUCCCCUCCCCAAGCAGGGGCUCCUCAGUCUGCAGAGACAGGCACCACCUGCCCUGGAGACCUUCUGGAUCACCUCACUGGGAGUUCUCCACCACCCCACACCCCAAGCCACUUGGCCAGAGACACACUGGACUUAGCAGCCUCUCCCGCCUUUCAUCUCUCUGGGCCCCAGCACAAGUGCACCCUCCCAGUCCCACUUGUUUGAAGCUGUCAGGAGAGUGAAGGUAACAUGCUCAUAGUGUUGUCUUGAGUACUCAGUGACAUAAUGUGGACACUGGGUGGUAGGGAGAGGCUACCACCACCACCACCAUCAUCAACAACAACAACAUUACCACCAUUACUGUCAGUACCACCUUCACCACCAUCCCUGCCACCAGUCAUGUCUUCACCAUUUCCAUCGCCACCACCACUGUUAUCACCAUCACAUUUCUACCCACACCACCACCAGCACCACCCUCACUGCCUCUGAGGACCCACUCCCCCACCCCAGUGUGGACGAUGGCUCACAGGGCUCCCGUGAAUGGAAAACUGGACGCCUGAGCAGAGAGAGACUCACAUUCCCAGCUGUCCUGGGAGGAGUGACCUCAUCAACUGAGCCGUCUGAGAGCCGUCUGAGAGCCGCCCCCUGGUUUCCCUGAGCUCUGACACCCACACACGCCAGCCCCGCAGAGCUCAGCUGGGGCGGAUGUCAAAGGCACCAGAACUUCAGCUGCCCCGGGGAUGGGGAUGUGCCUCCGGAAGGCUCUGCUCAGGACCAGCCACCAUACUUCCUGCUCCUCUCUUCAAGGGCAAAUCUUGCUCUGCUUUGUUUUUCUCUCUGUCACUGGCUGGGAGAAAGUUGUGUAACCAAAAAGACUCAGCACUGGCUCUCUCCGAGAUGUGAGAUCCUAUGUGGUGUGUUCUCUCCUUGGUGUUUUAAAAGUCAUGCAGUAGAAAGCACUCCUCUAAAUCAA